GAUGAACGCUGGCGGCGUGCUUAACACAUGCGAGUCGAACGAUGAAGCCCAGCUUGCUGGGUGGAUUAGUGGCCAACGGGUGAGUAACACGUGAGUAACCUGCCCUUAACUCUGGGAUAAGCCUGGGAAACUGGGUCUAAUACCGGAUAGGAGCGUCCACCGCAUGGUGGGUGUUGGAAAGAUUUAUCGGUUUUGGAUGGACUCGCGGCCUAUCAGCUUGUUGGUGAGGUAAUGGCUCACCAAGGCGACGACGGGUAGCCGGCCUGAGAGGGUGACCGGCCACACUGGGACUGAGACACGGCCCAGACUCCUACGGGAGGCAGCAGUGGGGAAUAUUGCACAAUGGGCGCAAGCCUGAUGCAGCGACGCCGCGUGAGGGAUGACGGCCUUCGGGUUGUAAACCUCUUUCAGUAGGGAAGAAGCGAAAGUGACGGUACCUGCAGAAGAAGCACCGGCUAACUACGUG
rnacentral:rRNA from 1 species